AAUAAUAGUUAUGAUCUUUAAACCUAAAGAAUUUGGCGGUGUUUUAUUCUAUUUAGAGGAAUUUGUUACAUAAUCGAUAAUCCCCGAUUUAUCUUACUUUAUUUUGUUAAUUCAGUAUGUAUAUCGCCGUUAUAAGUUUAUUUUAUUAGAAAAAAAAUUUACUUUAUUUUUAAAUAUAAAUUAUUUCAGGUCAAGGUGCAGUUAAUAAUAAAGUGUUUAUGAAUUACAAUAUUAUUUGAAUAAAUGGAUUUUUAUUUUAAAAUUUUAAUGAAAGUGGAUUUAAUUGUAAUUUUAAUAAUAAUGUUUUUUUGAUUAUAGCUCUGAAAUAAGUACACAUCGCCCGUCGCU
rnacentral:rRNA from 1 species